CGCAAGUACAAUUGAGUAAGUGACGAUGCAUCCCUGGCUUAGUGCCUAUCGGAGUGCAUAAUCAAAACAAAACGAAACAAAAACAGCUGACUGAAAAUUGCAUUAAAUGCAAAUUUGAUGCUGCUAAUUGCUGCAAUUAUACAAAAUGCAGAGGGGCGCAAAUACUGAAGAUUGCGAGAUUGCAUUAACUGCAAGCUGACUAGCAGAGCUGCUGCCAUACAAAGUACAGAGGGGCGCAAAACUGGAAAUAGCAGAAAUGCACUAAUUGCAAGCUGACUAGCAG
rnacentral:sRNA from 1 species